rnacentral:rRNA from 1 species
GUGCCAGCAGCCGCGGUAAUACCGGCAGCUCGAGUGAUGACCGAUUUUAUUGGGCCUAAAGCGUCCGUAGCUGGCCAGGCAAGUCCGUUGGGAAAUCCACCUGCUCAACAGGUGGGCGUCCAGCGGAAACUGCUUGGCUUGGGACCGGAAGAUCCAAGGGGUACGUCCGGGGUAGGAGUGAAAUCCUGUAAUCCUGGACGGACCACCGGUGGCGAAAGCGCCUCAGGAGGACGGAUCCGACAGCGAGGGACGAAAGCUAGGGUCUCGAACCGGAUUAGAAACCCCUGUAGUC